AGUGUACUGUACAAAGAUCUUCAUCUAGACUAGAGAGGAGGAACCACUCCGUCUUUGAAAUAAACGGCCCUGGAUACAAUUCAAUUCAAUUCAAUUCAAAGAGGCUUUAUUGGUGUGGGAACCAGAGGUUUACAUUGUCAAACCAAGUGUAAGAUAUAUGUAUAUACAGAUGUCGUUGUCUACAAUUAUUAACAGUCAAACCUUUUAACAUUGGCCAAAUUGACAAACUAUCAAUGCUGACACAAUGUACCUAGAUGUAAACAGUCUAGGCAACUAUUUGACUUCAUAUGACCAACACACUAGUAAAAUAAAUACCUAAAUUGUCAUCACUUCAAGUCAAACUGCAAAAAUAAAAUAAAUGUCAUUGUUUUAACAACAUCUCAUCAGCUUAUGCGUCAGUGCCAGAAGAGUGUGAACAGUUUCUGGUCCAGUAUGUCCACCUGGGAGAUCAAAGACAGACAUACAGACAAUAUCUCACUCUGACUGAAAGGAUUUAUUAAGCUGCAGAUAGUUUGUGCAGCUGGACAGUCUGCUAACAGUGAUACAACCAGGCAGGUAUGUAACCCCCUUAUGCCACAUUGUUGUGCUUUAUCACAAUAUUCCACAGUUAUGCAGCAGAAGUAAAACAGUCAGUUACUAUGAUACAGACUUACUGUUUGGCUUACUGUUCACUCUGUGGCUCUGAAAAGAUUUUGUGGGGGAAAAGAUCUUAAGUGGAGUGAAGCAAAUGAAUCAGAAAAGAAAAGGAAGAAGCAACCCAUUCCCUUCACCGUCCUGCAUGAGAUGCUGUAUUGAUCCUCACCAUUUUGUCAAGAUAGUCCCUCUAAAUAUAUUAUCCAUCUACAGGGUCAAACUUGUAAAGUUGCUUUUUGUGUUUUUAUGAUUAGAUUUGCGAUCUGCAACUACACCGCCAGAUGCCACUAAGUCCUACACACUGGACCUUUAAAACAUGGGUAUUAAGCACAAUAUCCCAGAGUAAUAUGAACAGAGUGAGAGAUCUUCACUUCUUCAACACAGCCUCCACCCUUUGUGACAGCCUCCUAAUCAGUCUUCUGUAUAGUUUUGCUUCUCAAGGAAGAAGAAAAGAAAGUGAUACAAAUUGAAAUCGCCACAGCUGAAUCCCGGCUCCACUUUAUGCUUACUUAUCAAAAUCUACAAACAGUUUAUGUGAUUACCUGUGUAAGUUCUUUUGUGUAUGUUUAAAGCUUUCGUCUUAAAGGCAUACACAAAAUGUUGUAGUUUUGCUACUCACCUCUGAUGCAAUAUUUAAUAAUAAAAAUGUACCCAAAUCA